rnacentral:rRNA from 1 species
GACGAACGCUGGCGGCGUGCUUAACACAUGCAAGUCGAACGGGAUGAUUUAGAAGCUUGCUUUUAGAGAAUCUAGUGGCAAACGGGUGAGUAACACGUAGGCAACCUGCCGACAGGAUGGGGACAACAUUCCGAAAGGAAUGCUAAUACCGAAUGAAGCGGGGGAGAGGCAUCUCUCCUGCGUGAAAGAUGGCCUCUAUAUAUAAGCUAUCACCUGUCGAUGGGCCUGCGUCUGAUUAGCUGGUUGGUGAGGUAACGGCUCACCAAGGCGACGAUCAGUAGCCGGUCUGAGAGGAUGAACGGCCACAUUGGGACUGAGACACGGCCCAGACUCCUACGGGAGGCAGCAGUGGGGAAUCUUCCGCAAUGGGCGCAAGCCUGACGGAGCAACGCCGCGUGAGUGAAGAAGGUCUUCGGAUCGUAAAGCUCUGUUGAUGGGGACGAACGUGCGAA